rnacentral:sRNA from 2 species
UCCCCCAACGGGUUUGCAUCGUCGUCUCAAUAAUCGCGAUAACCCAGCACUACCAGAGAAGCUGUUUUUUGCCUGCAUCCAUGAUGUAAUUUAAGAACACAAAUGAUAGGCACGCUCCGUCGCGAUUCAUUCCGUGAAUAUUUCGCAUAUUAGAUGUUUGCACUGGUUUAGCACAACGUCAUCAUCAUGAAUUGCAAACUGAUACAGAUACCAACACCCCUCGGCUCAGGAAUAGCCUUCCAAUCUCUCGUCCCCCUGAGCUUCGAUAACCAGCAGGUCCUCUUCUUGUCGAUUACCUAGGCAUCAGCAUUUCACCGUUUUUAAGCCCGGCGACCUCACUCACCUAGACCACUUAGCACGAAAUUCAUCCCGGUUGCUUUGGUCGAUAUACAUAUCUGUACAGAUUACAAAGGCACAAGAUAGCGCGCUCCAUCUCGCUCCAUUCGCAAGGCUUCUCUCUCAAGUGGGAAACUAUAAAUAAAUCUAUGGCAAUACAAGCUUUCCUACCCGUAUAAUGAUUUCCUACCGAACCAAUUAGCUCAUUCAACUUUUCGAUGUAGUACGCCAUCAAAGAGAUAUUUAUUUCGCACCGGCCCGUACUUGCACCUUGGUUCGAAUCAAGAAGGCAUGAAUUCAAAAUCGUCACCGCCGUCAUCUGUGCAUUGCGGGCGCGUGGGUUAAAACCGUUUCGUAUUCACCAAGCACCUAAAAUCGCAGAUUUGCUGCGUCAGCGGUUGGCUGUCGUAUUUUGCGAUAGUGGUCGUCAGAACUCAAGCUUUUGGACUCUGCAACAGCAGCUUUUUCUUUUCAGCCGCCAAUCUCGUUCAGAAGAAAUUUCCGUUUGGGCUGAGUGACGCACCUCUCGGUCAUUCGUUGAUUGAAAAACUGCCCAUCAUCUCCUGUCAGCCACGAAAACGCGGUCGGUUAAGUUAGCUGCCGCCUAAUCAUCAAUAAUUGCUUGUCCAACAGCCCCGCUUCAUCUAAAUGAAAUGAGGGUAUAACGGAGGAAGAAUUUUCGGCAACUCAAAGUACACAUCGAGAGGUGUUGAAGUUGUGUGAACGAAAUAUCUUUUCCCCAGUAAUCUGUGAUGUAGUCUUCAGGUCCCGCAUACUUGUUGUUCUUAGUAACGGCAGCUUGUGUUUGUGGCGGGCUCCAUCAUGCAACGCCCAGGGAAGACUGAGGAAACCUUAAAUGCGAGCUCCAAAAAGAAAAAAGAGAGAGAAAAAACUUUCCUAGCAAAGCAAGCUGUUUUUUGAGUUUCCCUCUCCUCUGGUGCCCGAUGCAGAAACAUCAAGAAUCAAGAAGAGAAUGUGAAGGUGAAACAUCCGACGGACAUUGGUUUUCCCGACUCUCCUAAUUUCUAGACUUCGAAGCAGAUCUGAUCCCGAGGAUCGGGGUUCGGAAUUCAUCUCAUCCGCUUUGAUUCGAUGCUCUUCCAACCUUGGAAGGGGUUAAGUCGACAAAUUCUUAGUGCCUUAAAUAUAGUUAUAGGUGGGUCGGGUUACGGUGUGUUCGAACCUGACCCUCACAAUAACCAGAUUAUAUGCAGAGGCACAGUCACUCAGCCA